AGCAGCCGCGGUAAUUCCAGCUCCAAUAGCGUAUAUUAAAGUUGUUGCAGUUAAAAAGCUCGUAGUUGAACUUCAGGCCUGGCUGGACGGUCCGCCUUCCGGGCGAGUACUGUCUGUGGUCGGGUCCUACCUUCUGGCGAAGCGUCAUGGCCUUAACCGGCCGUGGCGGGGAACCAGGACUUUUACUGUGAAAAAAUUAGAGUGUUCAAAGCAGGCAAUUCGCUUGGAUACAUUAGCAUGGAAUAAUGGAAUAGGACAAUGGUUCUAUUUGUUGGUUUCUAGGACUGUUGUAAUGAUUAAUAGGGAUAGUUGGGGGCAUUAGUAUUCAAUUGUCAGAGGUGAAAUUCUUGGAUUUAUUGAAGACUAACUACUGCGAAAGCAUUUGCCAAGGAUGUCUUCAUUAAUCAAGAACGAAAGUUAGGGGAUCGAAGACGAUCAGAUACCGUCGUAGUCUUAACCAUAAACUAUGCCGACUAGGAAUCGGGCGAUGUUGACAAAAUGACGCGCUCGGCA
rnacentral:rRNA from 1 species